rnacentral:rRNA from 1 species
GAGUCUGAUAAUGGCUCAAGACGAACGCUGGCGGCGUGCUUAACACAUGCAAGUCCGAACGAUGAAGCGGCGCUCUGCACCGUGGAUUAUCGGCGAACGGGCGAGUAAUACGUCGAGUCGACCUACCUUUGACUCUGGGAUAAGCCUGGGAAACUGGGUCUAAUACCGGAUACGACCAAUCUCUGCAUGGGGUGUUGGUGGAAAGCGUUAUGGAGUGGUUUUAGAUGGGCUCACGGCCUAUCAGCUUGUUGGUGAGGUAAUGGCUUACCAAGGCGACGACGGGUAGCCGGCCUGAGAGGAUGACCGGCCACACUGGGACUGAGACACGGCCCAGACUCCUACGGGAGGCAGCAGUGGGGAAUAUUGCACAAUGGGCGCAAGCCUGAUGCAGCGACGCCGCGUGAGGGAUGACGGCCUUCGGGUUGUAAACCUCUGUUAGCAUCGAAGAAGCGAAAGUGACGGUAGGUGCAGAGAAAGCGCCGGCUAACUACGUGCCAGCAGCCGCGGUAAUACGUAGGGCGCGAGCGUUGUCCGGAAUUAUUGGGCGUAAAGAGCUUGUAUGCGGUUGGUCGCGUCUGCUGUGAAAGGCCGGGGCUUAACUCCGGUUUUGCAGUGGGUACGGGCUAACUAGAGUGCAGUAGGGGAGACUGGAAUUCCUGGUGUAGCGGUGGAAUGCACAGAUAUCAGGAGGAACACCGAUGGCGAAGGCAGGUCUCUGGGCUGUAACUGACGCUGAGAAGCGAAAGCAUGGGGAGCGAACAGGAUUAGAUACCCUGGUAGUCCAUGCCGUAAACGUUGGGCACUAGGUGUGGGGGACAUUCCACGUUUUCCGCGCCGUAGCUAACGCAUUAAGUGCCCCGCCUGGGGAGUACGGCCGCAAGGCUAAAACUCAAAGGAAUUGACGGGGGCCCGCACAAGCGGCGGAGCAUGCGGAUUAAUUCGAUGCAACGCGAAGAACCUUACCAAGGCUUGACAUGCAUUAGAUCGCGUCAGAGAUGGCGUUUCCCUUCGGGGCUGGUGUACAGGUGGUGCAUGGUUGUCGUCAGCUCGUGUCGUGAGAUGUUGGGUUAAGUCCCGCAACGAGCGCAACCCUCGUUCUAUGUUGCCAGCGGUUCGGCCGGGGACUCAUAGGAGACUGCCGGGGUCAACUCGGAGGAAGGUGGGGAUGACGUCAAAUCAUCAUGCCCCUUAUGUCUUGGGCUUCACGCAUGCUACAAUGGCCGGUACAGAGGGUUGCGAUACUGUGAGGUGGAGCUAAUCCCUUAAAGCCGGUCUCAGUUCGGAUUGGGGUCUGCAAACUCGACCCCAUGAAGUCGGAGUCGCUAGUAAUCGCAGAAUCAGCAACGCUGCGGUGAAAUACGUUCCCGGGCCUUGUACACACCGCCCGUC